rnacentral:rRNA from 1 species
UACGAGGGGGCAAGCGUUGUUCGGAAUUAUUGGGCGUAAAGGGUGCGUAGGCGGUUGGUAAGUCUUAUGUGAAAUCUACAGGCUCAACUUGUAGUCUGCAUGAGAAACUGCCGGGCUUGAGUAUGGGAGAGGUGAGUGGAAUUCCUGGUGUAGCGGUGAAAUGCGUAGAUAUCAGGAGGAACACCUGUGGCGAAAGCGGCUCACUGGACCAUAACUGACGCUGAUGCACGAAAGCUAGGGGAGCAAACAGG